rnacentral:rRNA from 1 species
CCUACGGGAGGCAGCAGUGGGGAAUAUUGGACAAUGGGGGCAACCCUGAUCCAGCCAUGCCGCGUGUGUGAAGAAGGCCCUCGGGUUGUAAAGCACUUUCAGUGAGGAAGAACGCCUGGUGGUUAAUACCCAUCAGGAAAGACAUCACUCACAGAAGAAACACCGGCUAACUCCGUGCCAGCAGCCGCGGUAAUACGGAGGGUGCGAGCGUUAAUCGGAAUUACUGGGCGUAAAGCGCGCGUAGGUGGCUUGAUAAGCCGGUUGUGAAAGCCCCGGGCUCAACCUGGGAACGGCAUCCGGAACUGUCAAGCUAGAGUGCAGGAGAGGAAGGUAGAAUUCCCGGUGUAGCGGUGAAAUGCGUAGAGAUCGGGAGGAAUACCAGUGGCGAAGGCGGCCUUCUGGACUGACACUGACACUGAGGUGCGAAAGCGUGGGUAGCAAACAGGAUUAGAUACCCGAGUAGUC